UAGCGUUGCGAUGCAUGUGGAGUGUAUACACCCGAUCCCAUCGCGAACUCGGCCGUGAAACACUCCAGCGCCUAUGGUACUGCGGCUUAAGCGGCGGGAGAGUCGGUCAGCGCCGAGCU
rnacentral:rRNA from 1 species